rnacentral:rRNA from 1 species
UUGGAGGGCAAGUCUGGUGCCAGCAGCCGCGGUAAUUCCAGCUCCAAUAGCGUAUAUUAAAGUUGUUGCAGUUAAAAAGCUCGUAGUUGAAUUUCGGGAUCAAUUUAUUGGUCGUGCUAUUGUACGUACUGGUAUUAUUGAUUCCUACCUUCUGACGAACCAUGAUGUCAUUAAUUUGGUGUCAUGGGGAAUCAGGACUGUUACUUUGAAAAAAUUAGAGUGUUUAAAGCAGGCUUAGGCUUGAAUACAUUAGCAUGGAAUAAUGAAAUAGGACGUUUGAUCCUAUUUUGUUGGUUUCUAGGAUCGACGUAAUGAUUAAUAGGGAUAGUUGGGGGCAUUAGUAUUCAAUUGUCAGAGGUGAAAUUCUUGGAUUUAUUGAAGACUAACUACUGCGAAAGCAUUUGCCAAGGAUGUUUUCAUUAAUCAAGAGCGAAAGUUAGGGGAUCGAAGACGAUCAGAUACCGUCGUAGUCUUAACCAUAAACUAUGCCGACUAGGGAUCGGAUGAUGUUAAUUAUUUAAUGACUCAUUCGGCGCCUUACGGGAAAA